CCUACGGGAGGCUGCAGUGAGGAAUAUUGGUCAAUGGACGAGAGUCUGAACCAGCCAAGUAGCGUGAAGGAUGACUGCCCUAUGGGUUGUAAACUUCUUUUAUAUGGGAAUAAAAUGUUCCACGUGUGGGAUUUUGUAUGUACCAUAUGGAUAAGGAUCGGCUAACUCCGUGCCAGCAGCCGCGGUAAUACGGAGGAUCCGAGCGUUAUCCGGAUUUAUUGGGUUUAAAGGGAGCGUAGGUGGAUUGUUAAGUCAGUUGUGAAAGUUUGCGGCUCAACCGUAAAAUUGCAGUUGAAACUGGCAGUCUUGAGUACAGUAGAGGUGGGCGGAAUUCGUGGUGUAGCGGUGAAAUGCUUAGAUAUCACGAAGAACUCCGAUUGCGAAGGCAGUUCACUGGACUGCAACUGACACUGAGGCUCGAAAGUGUGGGUAUCAAACAGGAUUAGAUACCCGAGUAGUC
rnacentral:rRNA from 1 species